rnacentral:rRNA from 1 species
GACGAACGCUGGCGGCGUGCCUAAUACAUGCAAGUGGGACGCAAGGAAACACACUGUGCUUGCACACCGUGUGUUCUUGAGUCGCGAACGGGUGAGUAACGCGUAGGUAACCUGCCUAUUAGCGGGGGAUAACUAUUGGAAACGAUAGCUAAUACCGCAUAAUGUUAAUUAUUGCUUGAUAAUUGAUUGAAAGAUGCAAGCGCAUCACUAGUAGAUGGCCCUGCGUUGUAUUAGCUAGUUGGUAAGGUAAGAGCUUACCAAGGCGAGGAGACAUAGCCGACCUGGGAGGGUGAUCGGCCACACUGGGACUGAGACACGGCCCAGACUGCUACGGGAGGCAGCAGUAGGGAAUCUUCGGCAAUGGACGAAAGUCUGACCGAGCAACGCCGCGUGAGGGAAGAAGGGUUUCGGAUCGUAAAGCUCGGUUGUAAGUCAAGAACGUGUGUGAGAGUGGAAAGUUCACACAGUGACGGUAGCUUACCAGAAAGGGACGGCUAACUACGUG